AGGGGUGUGGCCACUUUCACUGACAUGUUUUCCAAUCAGAGUCUGUUUCUAGCCGUUAUCUGGAUUAUAUGGCUAAUAUCAUGGCUUGCUUCGUGGUACAGACUAUUCAAGAAGUCUGUGCUUCAGCUUUGGCUUACCGUCGGUCGUUCCUCCUGCGCCGGAAGAGCUUUUUGGUGUGUGCGAUCUCAGCCUCGUUAGGAAGGGGUGGGAAGACCUGUAACAAGACAAAUCACCGAGUAAGAGAUGACUGAAGUAUUGCUACAAGAAUUCUCACAGUAUUAGAUGACCAACAAUUUUUAUUCAGGCUUGUGCGACUGCUGGAACUUUUUCCACAGUUCUUGUAAGUCAUGGAGGAAGUCUCCCCCCCGUUUGUGCUUGUGAUACUUCUGAAAUGAGGAAGUAUCUAAGUUCAUAGAAACCUGUUUUCAGGAUCUUUUUCAAACCCUCCUUCAAGAAGGUGAACAAGAUGCCCCAUGAGGAUGUCUGCAUGUCUACCAGUUUAUUGUGACCAGGAAGACUUGUCUGCAACAACAUGCACGUGCUGAUCAGGCAGGCUUCCAGUGGAAAAGUACUGUACAACUGGAAUAUCUACUAGUCUAUGGGAUAUUCAGCUGUCCAUGUCUACGACUAAGGAUCACCGUUUAAGUGCAACAAGUUGCCAGCAGAAAGGAGAGAUCCCUGCAAACAUAAAUAUAGAGCCAGGAUGCUGAGGAUAUAUAUUUAUUUAAUAGAGAUUCAUGACAAUAAAAGCGAUGACAAUACUGAAGAAACAAGACUCCCUUUCUAUUAGUAACAAAACCAUGCUCAGUGGGGUAUGCAAUUUGUAAUUUAAUGUAAUCCCAGUUAACUAUGAAACUUCUAGUCAUCUAACGGGCCACAAAAAGAUGUACAUACUUUCGAACACAAAACCCUGUGCUUAUCAUUCCAACCAAGGUUUACAUUGAUUUUGUUUUAUUUUACACUGUGGUCUCUUGUGGAAGACUUAAGUACCCUUCCUGUUAUCUUGAGGGCUAUUCAAGACCAAAGAGAGUGUCAGUGAAUGGCCUUGUUGGUAUGAGAAACAACUGGGCAUCAGUGGCCUUGCUUUAUAGCUGCAUGACCCCACAGGGCAUGGUUUUGGGAUCAGCUUGCCAGGGCUCGAUAUUCACACAAUCGGAACGUAAAAGAGUAACUGGGAGAAGAUGAGAAUUGCCAGAAACAGCUGAGAAAUGUCAGGGAAAACAAAACAGAAAAUGUGGCACACAAUUCCCAGCUCUGCGUCUCUGAUCCCGAUCGCAGCACAGAAACGCUGAUGACCCCAUCUAUCUUUUGGCCCUUACUGAAUGAACGGAAACGACAAUCUUGGCUCAGAAAUGAUACAGUGAGGAAGCCAUCUCGAUCGCUCACCUAGAUCCAUCUUAACCCAAGCUGCGUGAGCGGCGCAGCUCAGCUCAAAGGCCAAGAGGGGAAGGAAAGAGGAAGACACUGUAGCUUAAACACCAUGAAAGACGGAGGAUAUUUUGGCUCAGAAAGCAGGGGAGGAAGAGAGGAGGGUGACCUAAUGUGAACUCUCGUCACCUCAAUGAAUCACAAAUCAUGUUGGAAAACACAAUGCUCAAUACCUUAUACAGAGAAGCAUUCCAGCUGCAAAAUGACUUUUACUCUGUUGAUGCGAGACACGUCACGUUCAGAAACACUGCUGUUGCCCUUUAGACUGCAAGUAAUGUAAGUAAGAGGCACUUAGAUCCCAUUUAGAGAAGAUGCUAAACCUCCUCAAUAGUUCAGGAACUCGGAAUAACCCUAUAAUAUAUAUAAGGUUACUUUCCCUGUCAAGAUUUUAGAAAAAGUUGCCUUUCUCAAGUUUUUUCAUACUUGAAUACUUUUAAUAUGUUUAAAAGAUUUCAGUCUAAUUUAAGAAAGAUGCAGAUUUUGCCUUGUUAAGAGUUUAUAAUGAUAUCCUUUUAUCUGCUGAUUUUGGCUCUUCUAGACUUUACUGCAUUUAGACAAUGAUCUAAACUAAAUAUUUUUAAACUGGAUUUCCUUAUUUGAUGGCACCUUUAGAUUCCAAACUGCUCGUCAUUCCUAACUUCCAUUAACUGCGGCAUCCCUCAAGGAUCCAUUUUAGGUCCUUUUUUACUUAAAUUGUACACGCGACCUCUUUUGUUCUAUUGUUCAUAGAUACAAAAUUCACUAUCACUGUUAUGCAGACAAAAAAAACCACUUCAACAAAAUGACUUCACUUAACUUAGGUUAUUUUAUUUGGCAUCCCAAGCUCCACAAACAUCAAGAUAAGUUCAAACUGCAGUUAAAAAUCAUGGUGUUUUUAUGGAGAGUUAUUUUACUUUUAACGAUCAAAUCAAGAAUGUUGUUAAAGGAAGCUUUUACCAACUGAGAACCAUCACUAAGUUAAAGCCAGUUUUGCAGCUCUCAAUACUCUCAAUACUCUCUCUCUCUCUCAGUUGCACAUGGUUUAAAAUGCAGCUGAUCAAAGCUUAACCAGUACAAUGAAAAUAGCACAUCACUAUCUGUGAUAUUUCAAAUGGAUUUUAAAAUUUUAUUAUUUGUUUUAAAGUCCACAAUAUAUCUGUAAUAUAUUGAAGAAGUUCUUUUAAAAAUCUUUUUUCCUCUGUGUCACGGAGGUUCUGGCAAUUUCUUAAAUCAGCUCUAAAGGACUCUCUUUUUCUGCUCUAUUAUAUGCUUUAUUACAGCUCAAUGUAAAUAUUUUCUAUUGCUCUUUUAUUUGACUCUUUUGACCACUCAUAGAUUUUAUUUAUGUUUUCAUUCUUGUUUUUGAAAUUAUUGGGUUCUUGGUGAUCUGGAAAACACUCUGGGUCAAUAUGUCUGUGAAGGUUCUCAGUCAUCCAGGUCAUCGUAGUCUGAGCUUGAAAGAAAAGCGACUGGACUUCUUUAAGUUGCUUGAAGACUCUGGGUCAACUUAUGUUGUUGUUUGUACACUGACCUGACAGUAUAUUUGUCUUAUUACAGAGCAAGAAAACACUGCAUGGGGACUUCAGCUAAACUAAAGAAUACACGUACACAGAAAUACUGAGGCAUACAUUUCUGUAUUUUGUGGACUGAAGUCACUAUUAAUAGAUUUGCAUUUUCAGACUAUGAAAAUGAGCAAGCAUUAUAACUUCUAUCACGGUACAAGUAUUGUUUUGAGACACACUUGGAGAAAAUGUGAACCUACUCAUUAAGUUUUGCACGAGUGCUGUUAGAGAUAAUCAGACGCUGACUAAAACAGCGACUGCCUCAGAAACCAACAACCCACAUCUCUUCCGUGUGAAUCAUUUGGGCAUCUACGCAUAUAUGUUAUGCAAACAUUUGCCCACUAGAGGAAGAUAUAACAUCAUUAUUCACAGUUACAGCUCACUCCUGCAUCUGACCAGCAGGUGUCACUAAAGUUUUUAUUUUCAAUCAACAAGUCUCAGAAAGUACAUAUAACACAGACUGAUCUUGCACUCUUAAGUUCCUUUUUUUUUCGUUUUAGAAAAAGAAAUUAACAACACAUUUCUCUUUUAGUACAAGAAAGAUCAUUCCUGUAAUUAUGCUUAAUAUUCUAGUAAUUUAAUCAAAAACCGGACUCCAGCACUGUUGACUCUGAACUCCAUUUGGUGCACAUUAUUCCUCCACCUAACCACCAGGGGUCACUCUCUAACAGCAAAUCACACAGUAUUGCUAAAGCUUCUUAAAGUUGUGACCUGUGAAUGGCUUUCUCAUACCUGUUCACUGCAGUACUAAACCGGGAUGGCGUAGUUUCACACAAGAAAAAAAUCAG